rnacentral:tRNA from 1 species
GCGGAUAUGGUGGAAGUGGCAGACACGCCAGAUUUAGGUUCUGGUCCGCGAGGGUGCAGGUUCAAGUCCUGUUAUCCGCA